AUCACUUCUUGGCCUUUUGGCUAAGAUCAAGUGUAGUAUUUGUUCUUAUCAGUUUAAUAUCUGAUACAUUGUCUAUCCAACUACAAUAUAGUAAGUGGAUUUUUGGCACUGGGAUAUGAAAUAAGCGCUUGCUCCAUCCAUUUCAUGCAUGACCUGGUAUUGCAGUACCUCCAGGAAUGGUAUACUCCUU